UACGUAGGGUGCGAGCGUUAAUCGGAAUUACUGGGCGUAAAGGGCGCGUAGGCGGCUUGGCAAGUGGAAGGUGAAAUCCCUCGGCUUAACCGAGGAACUGCCCUCCAAACUGCUUCGCUUGAGACCGGGAGAGGUGAGUGGAAUUCCCAGUGUAGCGGUGAAAUGCGUAGAUAUUGGGAGGAACACCAGUGGCGAAGGCGGCUCACUGGACCGGUACUGACGCUGAUGCGCGAAAGCGUGGGGAGCAAACGGG
rnacentral:rRNA from 1 species